UACGAAGGGGGCAAGCGUUGUUCGGAAUUACUGGGCGUAAAGGGCGCGUAGGCGGCUUACCAAGUCAGGCGUGAAAGCCCUGGGCUUAACCCAGGAAUUGCGUUUGAGACUGGCGUGCUGGAGUGCAGGAGAGGUCGGCGGAAUUCCCAGUGUAGAGGUGAAAUUCGUAGAGAUUGGGAAGAACACCGGUGGCGUAGGCGGCCGACUGGACUGUAACUGACGCUGAGGCGCGAAAGCGUGGGGAGCAAACAGG
rnacentral:rRNA from 1 species